UGGGGAAUCUUGCGCAAUGGGCGAAAGCCUGACGCAGCAACGCCGCGUGUGUGAUGAAGGUCUUCGGAUCGUAAAGCACUGUCGGGAGGGACGAAUAGAGCUGCAGCUAAUAUCUGCAGCUGAUGACGGUACCUCCAAAGGAAGCACCGGCUAACUCUGUGCCAGCAGCCGCGGUAAUACAGAGGGUGCAAGCGUUGUUCGGAAUUAUUGGGCGUAAAGCGCGUGUAGGCGGUCUUGCAAGUUGGGUGUGAAAGCCCUCGGCUCAACCGAGGAAGUGCGCCCAAAACUACAAGACUUGAGUAUCGAAGAGGAUGGCGGAAUUCCCGGUGUAGAGGUGAAAUUCGUAGAUAUCGGGAGGAACACCAGUGGCGAAGGCGGCCAUCUGGUCGAAUACUGACGCUGAGACGCGAAAGCGUGGGUAGCAAACAGG
rnacentral:rRNA from 1 species